AAACAAAUAAAUGAGAUCCCAAAAUCAAAAUUUUGUUGUCCGAUACAUCCAACAAAAGUCCAACAAAAUUUAAUCUAUACAUCCUGCGUUCUAAUAAAAAUCGGGAACUUCAACGCGGCCAGCCACGAACCUGAACCGAUUAUACCUACACCAAAUUAAAUGAACAAGUGAACAAAUACUCAAAUAAUUACUUUAAUAAACAAAAAUAUAUAAAAAAAGAAGAGAGGGCAGAUUCAAAGGAUCGAAUUUGUUGCAGACACAGCAUUAAAUGCUGCAUUUAAUUAGAGUAGGCAAACCAUAUUCCUUCCUGACGAAGGAGAAUAAUUUGGAGAUAAGAAUAUGUAGGCAACUUGCUACACCGUCACUUUCACUCCAUCUUCUGUGCAUUGUAUAUAGAUACCCAAUCAAUUUCUUAUAUUCACCCCCACAUCUUAACCAAAUCCUCUUCCCCUAUAGUAUUCAACUAAACAAUCCGUUUCACCCAAUUUCUGCUCAGAGAAAAAUCAAGACGCAUUCUGCAAAAUUGCAACUCAAGAAAUCAUAAUUUUCCAGCUUCAAGAAUCUUCCUUUUCAACCUUGUGAACUCCACAACUAAGUCCUACUCAAGGAGGGUGCUUUCGCAAGUAAAGUCGGAACGAAAGAUUCAAGUUAAGGAAUCUAAACGAUC